rfam:Rosellinia necatrix DNA, scaffold: Contig59, strain: W97.
GGAAAAGUUACUAUAGGUAGAGUGAAAUAUUUGCUAAAUAUUGUGUUUAUACAUAUGGGUGUUCGAAUCACCCCUUUUCCG